UCAAGCUACUAAGGGCUAUUGGUGGAUGCCUUGGCGCUGGAAGCCGAUGAAGGACGUGGAAGACUGCGAAAAGCUACGGGAAGUUGUCAAACAAGCUUUGAUCCGUAGAUGUCCGAAUGGGGAAACCCAAUUUAUUUUAAUAAAUUACUCCUACCUGAAUAUAUAGGGUAGGUAGAGGGAACUAGGGGAAGUGAAACAUCUCAGUA
rnacentral:rRNA from 1 species